rnacentral:rRNA from 1 species
UACAGAGGUCUCAAGCGUUGUUCGGAUUCAUUGGGCGUAAAGGGUGCGUAGGCGGCGCGGUAAGUCGGGUGUGAAAUCUCGGAGCUUAACUCCGAAACUGCAUUCGAUACUGCCGUGCUUGAGGACUGGAGAGGAGAGUGGAAUUCCCGGUGUAGCGGUGAAAUGCGCAGAUAUCGGGAAGAACACCCGUGGCGAAGGCGGCUCUCUGGAACGGUACUGACGCUGAGACGCGAAAGCGUGGGGAGCGAACAGG